rnacentral:rRNA from 1 species
AUUUAUGGACAAUGGUCGCAAGCCUGAUCCAGCCAUGCCGCGUGAGUGAAGAAGGCCAUCGGUAUGUAAAGCUUUUCCGGACGGAAAGAACUCGCGCAGGCUAAUACCCUCCACUUAUGACGGUACCGCCUUAUGGUGUCGCCGCUCACACACAGCCAGCCUCCGCGGUAAUACGUAGGGUGCGAGCGUUAAUCGGAAUUCCUGGGCGUAAAGCGUGCGCAGGCGGUUGAUUAAGACAGGCGUGAAAUCCCCGGGCUUAACCUGGGAACUGCGCUUGUGACUGGUCAGCUAGAGUACGGCAGAGGGGGGUGGAAUUCCACGUGUAGCAGUGAAAUGCGUAGAGAUGUGGAGGAACACCGAUGGCGAAGGCAGCCCCCUGGGCCGAUACUGACGCUCAUGCACGAAAGCGUGGGUAGCAAACAGG